CAACGGCUUGACGAUAAGAAAGCUGUCUCUCUUUACUAGACUCUGAAGUUAGCUGGAUAGUGAAGAGACUCUCUUAGCAAAGCGGGACGAGAAGACCCCGUUGAGCUUUAGUAAAAAUUGUUUAUUAAAAACUUGAUUACUUGAGUUGGGGCAACUAUCUUUCUUUUUUAAAACAAAGAUAAAAAUGUUUUGAGUUGAUUCUUUUAUGACCCUUAAUCUUAGGAAUAGUAGAAAAAGUUACCACGGGGAUAACAGCGUAAUUUUUUUUGAGAGUUCUUAUUGACAAAAAAGUUUGCGACCUCGAUGUUG
rnacentral:rRNA from 1 species